CCAGUUUGCCUAGAAGGAGUCCUGAAGCUUUAAAUUCCAGAAUAAGGCACCAGGACCUCGCACUGGUAACACCAAGGAACCUUGGAAGGCUCGUGAGCAGGAGGUGCAUGUAAUAAAAAAGGUUUAUUGCAGUUUCUAAUUUAAGCUCCCGUGAUGGCCAAAACCAGACCAGUGCUUCAUUUUCAAGAGGAUUUCUCUGUGUGCACAGACCCCUGAAGCUUAGACCUGUGAACCACAAAAUAUAUAUACGUAAUGAAAUUUUCAGAGAAAAUAUGUAUAUAGUUUCAUUGGACUUUUUGAAUAUAUCCACCCUCCUAGGAAAUUGCUUUAAAAAAAAAACAAAAAGAGAAGAGAUAACAUUUCCUAAUCUGUUUCUCUAUAUGACGUGUCUAUGUCACAUGUAUUUGGGAAGUAAAAUAUAUGCAUUAUAGAA